rnacentral:tRNA from 1 species
GUCUCUUCCUAGCUCGGUCAGUAGAGCAUGAGACUGUUAAUCUCAGGGUUGUGGGUUUGAGACCCGCGUUGGGCA